AGGAAUCUUUGCUCUUAGAUAUUUGUCUAGUAGGUUUCUCAUAAAGAGAAGCCCUC
ensembl:snRNA U7 U7 small nuclear RNA